GUGCUCGCUUCGGCAGCACAUACACUAAAACUGGAACAAUGUGAAGGUUAGCACAGCCCCUGUGUAAGGAUGGCACACCAACUCAUAACGCAUUCCAUAUUUAA